UUACUCAAGCAUACAACUUUGUUAACAUUUCUCCAUUUAGUUUUGACUUAGUUCGUUUUAAAUAAUUUUGGCAGCAAUUCUACUUUUCUGCUUAGCAUUAUGUUGUUAUAUGAAUUUGGAACCUGAUACUGUGUUUGCUGAUCUUAGCUGGAGUAGGGUAUACUAGCACCAUCCGGCGUAAGAAUGGUAAAUUAUCUGAAUUGAUCGGUGAACUUCAGGGUCUAAAAUUCUCAGAUCUUAUGUAUGUGACAAAGCGUAGUAUGAAUGCUGCUGUUUCAAAAUUGCAUAAACGUCUGGAGAGCGUGACAGAGGCU